CACGUAGGGAGCAAGCGUUGUCCGGAUUUAUUGGGCGUAAAGAGCUCGUAGGCGGCCGAUCAAGUCGGGGGUGAAAGCCUGUGGCUCAACCACAGAAUUGCCUUCGAUACUGUUUGGCUUGAGACCGGAAGAGGUUAGUGGAACUGCGAGUGUAGAGGUGAAAUUCGUAGAUAUUCGCAAGAACACCAGUGGCGAAGGCGGCUGACUGGUCCGGUUCUGACGCUGAGGCGCGAAAGCGUGGGGAGCAAACAGG
rnacentral:rRNA from 1 species